rnacentral:misc_RNA from 1 species
CAGGGAUCGUGCGGGUCGUGCUGGUCGUUCAGCGCGUCGGGGGCGCUAGAGGGAGCGAACUACCUGGCGACGGGCAAGAUGGACGUGCUCUCCGAGCAGCAGAUGGUCGAUUGCGACCAUGAGUGUGAUUCAUCAGAACCUGAUUCAUGUGAUGCUGGAUGCAAUGGUGGAUUGAUGACUAACGCCUUCAGCUAUCUUUUGAAAUCCGG